rnacentral:lncRNA from 1 species
GUCGUGCUCGCUGAAACUCGCGGUGGUGAUCGAGGGACUGGCGGCGGCAUUUGGGGUUGGGGUUUUGAAACCCUAACAGAGAAAAAGAAAAAGAAUUGAGGGUUUUUUUUGUUUUUUUUAGUUAUAAAUGUUUUUUUUUGUUAAAAUUUAGUUUAAAUAAGCAGAUCAAAACGGCGCCGUUUUGCCCAGGCCUAGACCCCCGCGGUGACCCGACCCGGAGGGGAGGAUCCGCACGUUCCGGCCAAAUGGGGAAUUUGU